rnacentral:rRNA from 1 species
GACGAGCGCUGGCGGCGUGCUUAACACAUGCAAGUCGAACGGAAAGGCCCUGCUUUUGUGGGGUGCUCGAGUGGCGAACGGGUGAGUAACACGUGAGUAACCUGCCCUUGACUUUGGGAUAACUUCAGGAAACUGGGGCUAAUACCGGAUAGGAGCUCCUGCUGCAUGGUGGGGGUUGGAAAGUUUCGGCGGUUGGGGAUGGACUCGCGGCUUAUCAGCUUGUUGGUGGGGUAGUGGCUUACCAAGGCUUUGACGGGUAGCCGGCCUGAGAGGGUGGCCGGCCACAUUGGGACUGAGAUACGGCCCAGACUCCUACGGGAGGCAGCAGUGGGGAAUAUUGCACAAUGGGCGGAAGCCUGAUGCAGCAACGCCGCGUGCGGGAUGACGGCCUUCGGGUUGUAAACCGCUUUCGCCUGUGACGAAGCGUGAGUGACGGUAAUGGGUAAAGAAGCACCGGCUAACUACGUG